AUUGAACGCUGGCGGCAGGCCUAACACAUGCAAGUCGAGCGAGCGGCGGACGGGGGAGUAAUGUCUGGGAAACUGCCUGAUGGAGGGGGAUAACUACUGGAAACGGUAGCUAAUACCGCAUACCAUCAGAUGUGCCCAGAUGGGAUUAGCUAGUAGGUGGGGUAACGGCUCACCUAGGCGACGAUCCCUAGCUGGUAUGAGAGGAUGACCAGCCACACUGGAACGUAGACACGGUCCAGACUCCGACGGGAGGCAGCAGUGGGUAAUAUUGCACACUGGGCGCAAGCCUGAUGCAGCCAUGCCGCGUGUAUGAAGCAGGCCUUCGGGUUGUAAAGUACUUUCAGCGGGGAGGCGUUACCCGCAGAAGAAGCACCGGCUAACUCCGUGCCAGCAGCCGCGGUAAUAC
rnacentral:rRNA from 1 species